ACACCUCUUUAGUUUUCCCAUUUUUCUCCAUUAUUCUCAAAGGUAUUUUAAUUUCCUUGGUAUGGUUGUAAAGCUUAAUAAAUUCCCUAUCUACCAUUACCUGUCCACCAUUACCAUACCUUGCACCAUAACUGAGAAAUGGGGUCAUGAACUUAGGGCGCUAUUUCGAACACAUAAUUUUUCCCUCACACACCUCUUCAGUUUUUCCCAUUUUUCUCCAUUAUUCUCAAAGGUAUUUUAAUUUCCUUGGUAUGGUUGUAAAGCUUAAUAAAUUCCCUAUCUACCAUUACCUGUCCACCAUUACCAUACCUUGCACCAUAACUGAGAAAUGGGGUCAUGAACUUAGGGCGCUAUUUCGAACACAUAAUUUUUCCCUCACACACCUCUUCAGUUUUUCCCAUUUUUCUCCAUUAUUCUCAAAGGUAUUUUAAUUUCCUUGAUGUGGUUGUAAAGCUUAAUAAAUUCCCUAUCUACCAUU